rnacentral:lncRNA from 1 species
UUAAUCAAUGUGUCAAAAUGACAAAUGCUCAGCUCUGAUAUGCUUGUUGUUCCCUGGAUGGUGACCGAAGAUGAAAUUGCACCUACAAAUGGGUGCUAUUUGUUUUAUGGACGUAGCUUGGAAGGUAGUUAUGGGGAAACAAAUGAUUACCAUUUUUAGGAAAUUAAAGACUUAUCGUGGAUGAGUCAGGAUUGAGUUCGCGGCAUUGGGUGUGCAAAAAAUUGUUUUAACCAAUUAAACUGAUCUGAUUCGGAUUUUGGAUUUUUUAAAUUAAUAAAUAAUUUUACAUUGACUCAAAAUUUUAAAUAUAAACUCGACUCAACGUCUCAACCCAAAUAUGGUAAAUUAACAAUUGAUUUGAUUUUAAAAUAAUUUAUAUUACAUAUAUAAUUUAAUAAAAAGGCCUAAAAAGUAAAAACAAAACAUCCCAAUAUAAUCCGUAAUUUCCCAAACCCGGUAACUUUCUACUGUCGACAGCCCGGCACACCCACCAUCGUACUUCAUCAGAUCAAUAAUCUCUUCGUCCUCCACAGCUUCACUCUUAUCGUCUUUCACGCCCUAAACCAACGCACCUUCGGCUUCAAGCUUUAGCUCUCUUUCGCCCUACUGUCGACGCAUGCGCAUCUGAGAUUCUCACAAAGGUAACAUGCAAGUGAACAGUAUAUAUGUCAGGAUCUUUGUUAUCGACUAGUAUUAGUUCUUUGCUGUAGUGGCUUUGGGUUAAUGGUUUUAUGAAUCAAAAUGGGGACCUUUUUGUAGUGUUUGUGAAGAUUGAAGAGGAUUUCAAAUAAGAGAAUGGAAGUGUGUUGAUAAGAAUAAGAAAUAAAUGAAGUAAUAGAGAAUCUUUGAUGGAACUGUUUCUCAGCAUGUUUUAUUCUUAAAUUAAAUGUCUUCCUAGAUCAUAUGGUGAAUUUUAGUUUGAACUUUUUCACCAAUGUUCCAGGCAAUGUAACCUCAUUAGUAUGAGUUUUUGACUGUUC